GAGUGAUGGAGACUUAGGAGGAGGAGGAUGGAGGUGAAGCCAGGACCAGGCUGGAUCAGUGUGGACCCUCUCUGGUCUGCAGCCUGGGUCCAGUCUGGGUCCAGUCUGGGUCCAGUCUGGGUCCAUUCUCCUCCUACACACAGUCCAACAUCGUCCCGGCUCAGAGGAAGAGAGUCCACACUGGCCGCCACACGACCAGCGAUGAGCUCUUUGCAAAGCUUCAGCUGUCCGUGCGUCUCCAGGUUAAUAACGGACGGCGAAGACGGACCCAGGACUGUAGCUAUGUGGACAGAGACAGACGCUGAACAUUUAUCCGGACUGAGCCGUGUUUAAAGUGACUUUACACGUACAGUGAUGUCUGAAACAUCCCACGCACUGUGAACAUGUCGCGUCCUCAUCACAGACCAGCUGGUUUGAAACGCUUCGUCUUUGACUCCUCCGUGUCAGGGACAAACACUCUCAGGAGGACAGGGGACACUAACAGGGCUGAUUUAACACUGACACUGGAUGUAGAAGAUCACUCUCUUAGGAAAUCAACAGAUUCUGGCUCCUUGUUUCUUUGUUUCUGUUGUUUCUGUCAGACACAGAUCUGCUGCAUGAUGUCCACUGAUUUAAAAACGCUCCGUUCUGUUCUGCUUUACUUUGGCCAUGAAGUAUUUGUCCUCUCAGCAAUAAUAAACCACACUCAAGCAGAAACACAGAAGAGAGACGAGGACCUGGGUCUGAGGCUGGACCAGGGUCUGGAGGGUUUUCUCUCUACGUGUGCAGAGUAAUGAUGACUGGACGAGUUCAGGCCCUAAACAGGAAUCUACUCUGUUUCUAUUUAAACCACAUCAGGCAACUCAGCCCCAGUUUUAUAGGUAAAAACAGAGUUUACAUCACUGCUUAGAUUCAGAUUAAACUCACGUUCCAGGCAUGAUGAAGAGCCAUCACCAUCAUCACCAUCAUCAUCAUCACCUGCUCUAAUAUAAGCUAACAGAGUUUUAUUUUCCAGUGUUGAAUAAACUUUGAAUGAACGCUG